AAUGUGAGAUACCAAUCUUCGUAUUCUAAAAUUUACUCAUGAAAAGAAAAGUAUAUCCAAGACAGUUUUGUUGGGGCGACAGCCUUCUAAAAAGUAACGAAGGCUCUCAAAGGUCAAUUCAUUCUCAUUAGAAAUGAGAAAUUGAGUGUAAGAGCAUAAAUUGGCCUGACUGUGAGAUCGAUGGAUCGAACAGGGACGGAAGUCGGAUCUAGUGAACCACAUAGUAUCUUUGGAACUCUAUGUGAUAAUAAACUAAGUUACCCUAGGGAUAACAGUGUAAUAUCUGGCAAGAGUCCUUAUCGACCCAGAUGUUUGCCACCUCGAUGUUGAAUUGCCGUAGCCUCCUGGUGCAGUCGCUAGGAAGGGUUGGACUGUUCGUCCAUUAAAACGGUACAUGAUUUGAGUUUAAACCGUCGUGAGACAGGUUGGAUUCUAUCUUCAGUAUUAUUUUAAAUAAUGAAAGUAA
rnacentral:rRNA from 1 species